UUUCCCCGGCCCCUAACACAUGCAAGUCGAGCGGACARAAGGGAGCUUGCUCCCGGAUGUUAGCGGCGGACGGGUGAGUAACACGUGGGUAACCUGCCUGUAAGACUGGGAUAACUCCGGGAAACCGGAGCUAAUACCGGAUAGUUCCUUGAACCGCAUGGUUCAAGGAUGAAAGACGGUUUCGGCUGUCACUUACAGAUGGACCCGCGGCGCAUUAGCUAGUUGGUGGGGUAAUGGCUCACCAAGGCGACGAUGCGUAGCCGACCUGAGAGGGUGAUCGGCCACACUGGGACUGAGACACGGCCCAGACUCCUACGGGAGGCAGCAGUAGGGAAUCUUCCGCAAUGGACGAAAGUCUGACGGAGCAACGCCGCGUGAGUGAUGAAGGUUUUCGGAUCGUAAAGCUCUGUUGUUAGGGAAGAACAAGUGCGAGAGUAACUGCUCGCACCUUGACGGUACCUAACCAGAAAGCCACGGCUAACUACGUGCCAGCAGCCGCGGUAAUACGUAGGUGGCAAGCGUUGUCCGGAAUUAUUGGGCGUAAAGGGCUCGCAGGCGGUUUCUUAAGUCUGAUGUGAAAGCCCCCGGCUCAACCGGGGAGGGUCAUUGGAAACUGGGAAACUUGAGUGCAGAAGAGGAGAGUGGAAUUCCACGUGUAGCGGUGAAAUGCGUAGAGAUGUGGAGGAACACCAGUGGCGAAGGCGACUCUCUGGUCUGUAACUGACGCUGAGGAGCGAAAGCGKSGGGAGCAAACAGGAUUAGAUACCMUSYRG
rnacentral:rRNA from 1 species